UACAGAGGUCUCAAGCUUUGUUCGGAUUCAUUGGGCGUAAAGGGUGCGUAUGUGGCGCUGUAAGUCGGGUGUGAAAUUUCGGAGCUUAACUCCGAAACUGCAUUCGAUACUGCGGUGCUUGAGGACUGGAGAGGAGACUGGAAUUCAUGGUGUAGCAGUGAAAUGCGUAGAGAUCAUGAGGAAGACCAGUGGCGAAGGCGGGUCUCUGGACAGUUCCUGACACUGAGGCACGAAGGCCAGGGGAGCAAACGGG
rnacentral:rRNA from 1 species